rnacentral:rRNA from 1 species
UAAAAGUUGAGUUUGGUGAUGGCUCUGAUUGAAUGCUGUCCAAGUGCUUUGACACAUGCUAAUCGUACGUUUUAAUCUUAAAAGUUAAAAAGUGGUGUACAGGUGAGUAUAAUGGUGUUCUCCGCCGGCCUUAAAGUAAAGUUAAAUUCUUUAUAUAUAAAGGAAAUGAAGUUUUCCGCUUUAAGAGGAUAAUGAAUCGGGAUAGGAUAGGUAGUAGUUAAGGUGAUGGCUUAACUAGCUAACAACUCUCGUAGUCGAAACUGAAAGGUUGAUCGACCACAUUGGGUCUGAAAAAACCCCAAUGCAUAUUAGUACAGCAGUGAGGAAUCUUGGUCAAUGGCCUAACGGCUGAACUGGCAACUUGGAGAAGUGAUAAGUUUAAUAAGUUCUGCCUUAUAUAGGUGAGCUUAUAUAAAUUAAAUUAAAUUUGAAUGAAACUUUGUUUAUAUAUUGAUAAUGACAGUAUAUAUAUAGCGUCUUGACUAAUUGCGUGCCAGCAGUCGCGGUAAUACGUAAGAGACUAGUGUUAUUCAUCUUAAUUAGGUUUAAAGGGUACCUAAACGGUCAAAAUAUCUUGUAAAAAUGUUAAUAUUUGACUAGAGUUUAUAUGUAAGAAGGUAGUACUUGAGGAGGAGAGAUCAAAUUUUGUGAUACCAAAAGGACUCGGUAAAGGCGAAGGCAACCUUCUAUGUAAAAACUGACGUUGAGGGACGAAGGCUUAGAUAACAAAAAGGAUUAGAUACCCAAGUAGUCUUUGCAGUAAAUAAUGAAUGCCAUAGGUUGGGGGUAUAUUCACCCCUUAACUAUAAAUGAAAGUGUAAGCAUUUCACCUCAAGAGUAAUGUGGCAACGCAGGAACUGAAAUCACUAGACCGUUUCUAACCUCAGUAGUGAAGUAUGUUGUUUAAUUCGAUAAUCCACGAAAAACCUUACCACAAUUUGAAUAUAUUUAUUACAGGAGUUGCACGGCUGUUUUCAGUUAAUGUUGUGAAAUUAUGGUUUCCAUAAAAUUAACGUAAUCCCAGAUUUUAUUUUUAACAUAAUAAAUUUUUAUUAUAAUACGAUAAAAUAUUUUAACCCUACUGCUGGUUAAUCUAAAAGGGACUAAGACAAGUCAUCAUGGCCUUGAUAUUGUGGGCUAUAGACGUGCCACAUAUACCUAGACAAAGAGCUGCGAAAAUGUGAAUUUUAGCAAAUCUCAAAAAAUAGGGUAUAAAAAGGAUUGUAGUCUGAAAUUCGACUAUAUGAAUAAGUAAUUACUAGUAAUCGUGAAU